UACGGAGGGUGCAAGCGUUAUCCGGAUUCACUGGGUUUAAAGGGUGCGUAGGUGGGCAAGUAAGUCAGUGGUGAAAUCUCCGGGCUUAACCCGGAAACUGCCAUUGAUACUAUUUGUCUUGAAUACUGUGGAGGUCAGCGGAAUAUGUCAUGUAGCGGUGAAAUGCUUAGAUAUGACAUAGAACACCAAUUGCGCAGGCAGCUUACUACACAGUAAUUGACACUGAGGCACGAAAGCGUGGG
rnacentral:rRNA from 1 species